GACCCACUCCCCUUUUAAGCGUUUUUCGCCUUUCCCAAAAUGAGACACCCAUUCGACAGACUCCCUAUGCUAGCAUCCUUGCCUAUCGCUGUCAUUCAAUCUCACCGAAUCAUGGCAUCUGGGAGCUGAAGCGGGAAGGUCGCGGCGGGGCGGCCUGGAAUUUAGUUGCCUUCGAUCGGGCUCUCGGGCUCCAGCUUGGAAGUCUCCUCAAGAGAAUUGAACGUGAUCCUUUGAAAUGUCAACCUUAUCUCCUUUAAGCUGUAACCACAUGCAAACCUCGAGAUCGACAUCCGGGACAUGUGGACACUCCUGAACCUGAGUUGUUUACUGAAGUAAACCGCCUCCUCCUCUUGCAUCUCAAUCUGCUUGCACCCUGAGCAUUGUUCAAACUGGACAAAACCAGUUCAGACUGAAAAAAAGGAGGCAUGGAAAUAAAGGACAAAUGAAAUCUUCAAUGUUUAGCCUCACUCCUUUCAUCAUUUUUAUGCCAUCAUUUUGUCCACUGUCUUUUGUUGUUAACUGUGGUUAUGAGCGCGUGCCUCUUUUAUGGGAAGCCGCGGCUGGAGGUGGGAAAAGGCCAGCGCAAAAUGAUGGGAUUUUAUUGGCUAAUAAUAAGCUGGUGUAACCUUUCCAAAGCAGUUAAUGGGCACAAAGCUGGGCCUGCAAACAGCUUUAGCUUGGCCAUGCCAGGAACUAAAUGUGAAAAAAUAUUUUCAAAUGGCCCUAUCCGAGGGUAGACACUUUGCCAUCAACGGUGACCGUUGCCUGAGAAAAUCUGCAGCAACCGCAGGAUUUGGGUUCCAAUAAACCCGAUCACUUCACUUCGUAUCGGUUGGAAGACGAGGAAGUGUACUUGGAAGUGCGAUUUAAGGGACAGUGAGCCAAGGUUGUAAAAAAAAAAA